GCUGUAAGCUUUAGCGUUUUCUUCAAUAAGCAGGGUCGGGCCUGGUUAGUACUUGGAUGGGAGACCGCCUGGGAAUACCAGGUGCUGUAAGCU
rnacentral:rRNA from 1 species